GCUUCGGUGGCCUACUGGUUAGAGUGUCUGCCUCGUAUGCGGGAGGUCGUGGGUUCAAUCCCCGGUCGAGUCA